GUGCCAGCAGCCGCGGUAAUACCGGCAGCCCGAGUGAUGGCCGCUGUUAUUGGGCCUAAAGCGUCCGUAGCUGGCCGCACAAGUCCGUCGGGAAAUCCGCCCGCUCAACGGGCGGCCGUCCGGUAGAAACUGGCCGGCUUGGAACCGGAAGGCUCAGAGAGUACGUCCGGGGUAGGAGUGAAAUCCCGUAAUCCCGGACGGACUACCGAUGGCGAAAGCACUCUGAGAAGACGGCUCCGACAGUGAGGGACGAAAGCUCGGGUCUCAAACCGGAUUAGAAACCCGAGUAGUCC
rnacentral:rRNA from 1 species